AUGUGUAAAUCUCAGGGAAAAUAAAAAACAAAUAGAACGUGAUUGAGGCUUAAUUAAAGAUUGGCGCAAAAGGGGAGGGACCAAAUGCGAAAUUCACCCAGAGUAGCUAAUUGGCCUCUAAAGACUAAACGGUGACGUCUUUAUUUUGUCAUUAAACCUUAAAAAAUUGUUUGAAUGGCACUCUGUCGUUUUCUACAGCAAUUGAAGCAAAAUCCUUCCCCAUAUCCAUCUUCAUUUGGCCGAUUAAGAAGCCAAAUCCCUAGCCUCUCUUGAUUUUCCCUCAACCGAUUCUAACACCCCUUUUUUAAGCACCGAUCUACCUCUAUCAAUGGUGACGAGUAGAUUCGGGCUUCAAGGGACGACCAUCUAGGCCACGAGGUUCCAUCUACACUCCGAUUUCAACGAAGAAGACGGAGUCUCUUAGCACAUUCGCAAGGUUCGACUGUACGGAGGAAAGCCACUCGUGGGGAAGCUGCAAUGCGUGCGAGCAGCAGUUGGUGACUUGGGAUUUCCAGAGUCUUCCCCCAUUCGGGCUGUUUGGGCUAAUUUCGGGAUUGGGCCUACUAGGGUAUUAGUUUAUUUCGGCUAGAAUUUAAAUUUAAUGUUUGUCAGAUAUUAAUUUGGUUAAUUGGGUCAUGGGCUAAUGGACUUUUAUUGUAUUGGUUUAUUAUUGUUUUUUAAUUUUUGGUUUUUUGGUUUUCUAACAGGCCCGGGCAAAAUGGGCCUAUUACAACUGUAAUUGUUUUGCUAUUCUAUUUCCAUACAUUUAUAUAGUAUUAUAUAAAAUUUUUAUCUGAUAA